GUCCGGUGCCAAGAGAACAGAGUUGUACGUCGGUCGCCACACGACACUCACUGAGUCUUCUGAUCAACGGUGGAACCAAGCCAGCCACAAUAUGAAAGCUAUACUGUGGUUUCUCUUCGUGACUAUUGUGCUGACGGUCCAGAGCCUGGAUAUUGUUGCUGCAGAUCCAUACUCCAGUGGACGUAAAACACCUCCCAAGCAUGCCGGACGUUGAAGGAUGCACUCUCAGCAACAGUAAAAGCAAAACAUUGCAUGUAAUAUGCCAAUGACUGAAAUAAAAGUCUUAUAACAAAUUCCA